AGUGAACGCUGGCGGUAGGCCUAACACAUGCAAGUCGAACGGCAGCACAGUAAGAGCUUGCUCUUACGGGUGGCGAGUGGCGGACGGGUGAGGAAUACAUCGGAAUCUACUUUUUCGUGGGGGAUAACGUAGGGAAACUUACGCUAAUACCGCAUACGACCUACGGGGGAAAGCAGGGGAUCUUCUGACCUUGCGCGAUUGAAUGAGCCGAUGUCGGAUUAGCUAGUUGGCGGGGUAAUGGCCCACCAAGGCGACGAUCCGUAGCUGGUCUGAGAGGCUGAUAGGCCACACUGGAACUGAGACACGGUCCAGAGUCCUACGGGAGGCAGCAGUGGGGAAUGUUGGACAAUGGGCGCAAGCCUGAUCCAGCCAUACCGCGUGGGUGAAGAAGGCCUUCGGGUUGUAAAGCCCUUUUGUUGGGAAAGAAAAGCAGCAGGUUAAUACCACGCUGUUCUGACGGUACCCAAAGAAUAAGCACCGGCUAACUUCGUG
rnacentral:rRNA from 1 species